CUUCCGAUGUGAGCUGCAAAAUAACUAUUUCGACACCAUCUGGCGGGUAUUCUUCAAUCCAAUGACUGUGCCUGCCAGCUAUGUCCACCUGGAACAGCUUUACCUGAAUCGUCUACAAACGUCCGCUUCCUGCACCAAUCGCAACAAUUUAUCCGAGCGAGCUCCAUGGCCACGGACCUAGAGAGCAUCUUUGAGAAGGUUCCAUCGGGCAAGAGUGAGGUUAAGCGGCGGUUCUAGCAGUAGUUGGAGGUCACUAGCUGGGACGGAAGGGAUCAAUUUUACGGCCAGCAGUAGGGAUAGUGGUGAGUAAAAUGAUCUUUUGGAACGUGUCCCGUCGAUAUGCCAACGCUCGAACGAGGUAUGACCCAACAGCAACAAAAGUCUGGGGAGUGCCGCUGGAUUUGGAGGGUACGCUGGACCAGACGCCAGCUGCUGGAAGGUGUUGGCAUGCUGAUGCAAGGCGGUGCUUUUCUCAGAGAACGUUAAACGCUCCAGAUGAUCGGUGGUGACAACAAGGCGAGCCAAAUGAUCCUGGUGCUGAACGCCUUCCGUCUAUGUCCCAGGAUGAGCGAUUGGUUAAGCGGACCAGGAAGGUGGAGUUUGCUGGUGGUGAAGGCAGCGAGCAGAUUUACAUUUUGCAAACGGACAGCAUCAUCAUAUCGGAGACUCCCAAGAACAGUGACUCCACGUCGGUUGAUGACAGCAUUUAACGAAUUUGGAAGUAAGUUUUUAGCCUUUUUAUACAAGGUUGCUAAAAUAUGGAUAUUUUGACUUUAUUUUAUUAUUUGUGUCGUUUCUCGCUUCAUUUUUUGUGAUUUAUGCAUAAGGUGCAGACAAUUCCUUUAAAAUCUAGACCAAC